rnacentral:rRNA from 1 species
GAUGAACGCUGGCGGCGUGCCUAAUACAUGCAAGUCGAGCGAACGGAUGAGAAGCUUGGUUCUCUGAUGUUAGAGGCGGACGGGAGAGUAACACGUGGAUAACCUAACUCUAAGACUGGGAUAACUACGGGAAACCGGAGCUUAUACCGGAAAAUAUUUUGCACCGCAUGGGUCCAAAGUGUAAGAAGGUAGUGCUGUCACUUAUAGAUGGAUCCGCGCUGCAUUAGCAAGUUGGUAAGGUGACGGAUUACCAAGGCAACGAUGGAUAGCCGACCUAAGAGGGUGAUCGGCCACACUGGAUCUGAGACACGGUCCCGACUCCUGCGGGAGGCAGCAGUAGGGAAUCUUCCGCGAUGCACCAAUGCCUGACGGUGCGACGCCGCCUGAGUGAUGAAGGUCCUCGGAUGGUAGAACGCUGUUAGUAUUGAAGAACAUAUGUUUUAUUAACUGUGCCCAUCUUGACGGUACCUAGUCAGAAAGCCACGGCUAACUACGUG